UACGGAGGGGGCUAGCGUUGUUCGGAAUUACUAGGCGUAAAGCGCACGUAGGCGGGCUGUUAAGUCGGGGGUGAAAUCCCGGGGCUCAACCCCGGAACUGCCUCCGAUACUGGCGGUCUUGAGUUCGAGAGAGGUGGGUUGAAUUCCGAGUGUAGAGGUGAAAUUCGUAGAUAUUCGGAGGAACACCGGUGGCGAAGGCGGCCCACUGGCUCGGUACUGACGCUGAGGUGCGAAAGCGCGGGGAGCAAACAGG
rnacentral:rRNA from 1 species